rnacentral:rRNA from 1 species
UCCGUAGGUGAACCUGCGGAGGGAUCAUUACAAGUGACCCCGGUCUAACCACCGGGAUGUUCAUAACCCUUUGUUGUCCGACUCUGUUGCCUCCGGGGCGACCCUGCCUUCGGGCGGGGGCUCCGGGUGGACACUUCAAACUCUUGCGUAACUUUGCAGUCUGAGUAAACUUAAUUAAUAAAUUAAAACUUUUAACAACGGAUCUCUUGGUUCUGGCAUCGAUGAAGAACGCAGCGAAAUGCGGUAAGUAAUGUGAAUUGCAGAAUUCAGUGAAUCAUCGAAUCUUUGAACGCACAUUGCGCCCCCUGGUAUUCCGGGGGGCAUGCCUGUUCGAGCGUCAUUUCACCACUCAAGCCUCGCUUGGUAUUGGGCAACGCGGUCCGCCGCGUGCCUCAAAUCGACCGGCUGGGUCUUCUGUCCCCUAAGCGUUGUGGAAACUAUUCGCUAAAGGGUACUCGGGAGGCUACGCCGUAAAACAAACCCAUUUCUAAGGUUGACCUCGGAUCAGGUAGGGAUACCCGCUGAACUUAAGCAUAUCAAUAAGCGGAGGAAAAGAAACCAACAGGGAUUGCCUUAGUAACG